UACAGAGGGGGCAAGCGUUGUUCGGAAUUACUGGGCGUAAAGGGCGCGUAGGCGGCCUGCUAAGUCGAACGUGAAAUCCCCGGGCUCAACCCGGGAACUGCGUCCGAUACUGGCAGGCUUGAAUCCGGGAGAGGGAUGCGGAAUUCCAGGUGUAGCGGUGAAAUGCGUAGAUAUCUAGAGGAACACCGGUGGCGAAGGCGGCAUCCUGGACCGGCAUUGACGCUGAGGCGCGAAAGCCAGGGGAGCAAACGGG
rnacentral:rRNA from 1 species